AAAUUCAAUUGUCAUUUCUAGUAGUCAACUCAAUCUCACUAUUUAUAGCUUCCUUCCAAAAAGAAGUUUCAGGAAAACUCAUAACUUCUUUAUAUGAUGAAGGGGUACUUUCAACUAAGAAAGUAAAGAAACCUUCACUAAAGUUUUUUUCAAUAUGAGCUAUUUUGCUUCUCCUUAAUUUGGCGGAUAGGAAUGUAGGAUUUAAACUAUAUGGUAAAUCAGAUGUAGGUAAGUGAUUAGAUGUAGAUGCAUGAUCAAUGAUAGUUUGACAAGCAGGGACUAAUAUAGAGAUGCGAGUUGCGAAAGAAA
rnacentral:lncRNA from 1 species